GGCGCUUUUCCUGUACUCACUCCAGGUGACCCGCAGAGCCUGCACACAGGACGCAGGGCCUGACCCCACCGGAAACAGCAUCCCCUCUGACGGCAGCCGAGCGAGGGUGCGGGCAGGACGUGCACGGUGAUCGUGAGGCGAUGCUCUGGUCCGGCGUGGGCACAGCGCAGGAAAGAAUCAGGAGUGGAUUCCAGAGUGGCCCUGGACCCCUUCUUGCAGCCCGUCCCGGGGACUGUGCCCUCCCCGCGGUGCGGCAUAAGAAGAACGGAGGGUACCCACCCACGCUGGGGCCGAAGAAGGAGGCCACAUCCCCGGCUCCAGGCAGCCAGGACGGGUCUGCGGUCUGUGAAAGGAGUAGGGGCUGAAGGAAUGUCCUUGCAGGGCGGCAGCUUCUAAUUCUGAAGGCAUCUGCCUUCCCAGCCUCAAGCUGUUCCCGGGCCAAAACAAGAAGGGCAAUGGACUCUCUGUCCCCGCUUCCAGUACUCCCACCUCACUCGCACACGGAGUUCCUGUUUCUUGGGGGUCCGCUAGGGAGGGGAGCCUAUCUCUGACAUUCUUCGUUAAACUUAACUUUGUCAGCAGAACCUCUCCGAUGCCCAGAGCCAGAGCCGCUCUGGUGUGAAGGCAUAGGAGGUGUCUGAGGACACAUGUCACCAUUCUUUGCUCACCAAAUGGACUUGGAUGUUGACUGUGAGAAAAUGAACUCAGUUCAGGGAGCAUUUUCCACAUUGCUCUCGUAAGCUUUGAUGGUCUUGGUAAGC